GAGAACAUUCCUUUCCUCAGGGAAUAGGAUGGGCACCUCUCACAUGACGGUCUCAUGAUGGCUUUAGAGGAAGGUCAGAAAAUCCUUUCUAGGUUUUGUGGCUUGUUUUAGGGGAGAAGGGUAUAAAAACAUCACAGAGAAACCUUCCUGCUUCUGCAGUUUUCUCAGAUUAUUUUGGGUUAAAAUACUCAGUAUGUCAAGACGACAUAUUCUGGGGCAGCCUUGAUAGGGCUCAGAUGGGAAGGGCCAUCUCUGGAAAUGGGAUUUUAUUCUACAGGGAUCAUUAAUUCUCUCAAGACUCAAAAGGCUAAUAAUGAUUGCUGUGGAAAAAUACUACUUUCCCAAAAGUGCCUAUGGAUUUACAGAUCAUCCUGAAGACAGAAGCAGAAAUAUGUGGGCUACAAUAUGAACAUGAUUAUAAGCUUCCUGAUGCGUCCCCAGAAGCCGAGCAGAUGCUAGCCCCAAGAUUCCUGUAAAGCCUGCAGAACCAUGAGCCAAUUAAACCUCUUUUCUUUAUAAAUUACC
rnacentral:lncRNA from 10 species